rnacentral:pre_miRNA from 1 species
AAAAAGACAAACCCUGGUUUCCGUGCCCAACGUUUAACCGUCCGUCUUAUUUAAAAAAAUUAUGAAAAAAAUUAAAAAGACAAGUCACGCAUAAAAUAUUAAUCAUGUUUUAUCAUCAAACAACAAUGAAAAUACGAAUUAUAAAAAAAUUUUAUAUAAGACGGAUAGUCAAAGUUGGACACGAAAACUCAGGGUUUGACUUUUU